GAACGCAGCGAAAUGCGAUAAGUAAUGUGAAUUGCAGAAUUCAGUGAAUCAUCGAAUCUUUGAACGCACAUUGCGCCCAUUAGUAUUCUAGUGGGCAUGCCUGUUCGAGCGUCAUUUCAACCCUUAAGCCCCUGUUGCUUAGCGUUGGGAAUCUAGGUCUCCAGGGCCUAGUUCCCCAAAGUCAUCGGCGGAGUCGGAGCGUACUCUCAGCGUAGUAAUACCAUUCUCGCUUUUGCAGUAGCCCCGGCGGCUUGCCGUAAAACCCCUAUAUCUUUAGUGGUUGACCUCGAAUCAGGUAGGAAUACCCGCUGAACUUAAGCAUAUCAAUAAGCGGAGGA
rnacentral:rRNA from 1 species